rnacentral:lncRNA from 1 species
GAGUUGGGUGAGAAAGAAUCCUAAAGAUGGUCCAAUGGGCAUGGUGUGAAGCCUCUCUCUUUGUGUCAGUCUGCUAAAUCUCCUGAUGUCCUCUAGGGUGAGAUUCAGGUCCUGCUGAACAACUUGUAAUAGGAGAUGAAGUACAUGCAGGGGCAGCUCAAUACCAGGAUAUCAUCCCUGAGCAGAGGGUGGGCAUCCCCACAACCCUCCCAACAGUCAGCGUCUCUGCGACCAAUGGAAUGCUGCUACACCAUCUCCAAUCCCCCCCAUGGUGGGACCAACGUGGAAUGGUGGAGUGAAUACCACAUGUGGAGAUUUCUACUGCAAGAGAAAGGAUAUUGUCACAGAUAUCCGGAGUAGAUGUGGUGGAUCGUUCCAUAAUGACCAUCACCGAGGCCAACCCUCAGAGCCAGACUGGCAGCCGGCCGGGGGCUGAGCCUGAGACCCCUGCUGUAGCGCUUCAGAACAGUGGAGGAUGGCUCAGCUGGAUCUUCAGGAGAGGAAAGGAGAUUCAUCUAUCUGAUGAGAAAGACAACUCUAACAAACCUGUACUGCCUCCUCCCCCGAUGGGAAUGUAUCUGGGGAACUCUGGUCUUCCCAAAGGGGUGAAUCCUUACUCAGGAAAGCAGGUGAAUAUGGUUCAAAUAUGCAUUCAAAUACUGUAUGAAUAUGAAUUCAAAUACUGUGCCAGCCAAUCAUCGCUUUAUCUGGUGAUCUCCUGCCUGCUAACAUCUUUCCUCUAGUCUAACAGCAGGUCUAUGGGAAAAAUAUAGAAGAAAAAGAAACGCACACCUAUUAAGGCGAGGUGCUGGAUAGCGGAGUAGAAAACUUGAAAAUAAGGGAGAGCCGCACACCCUAGGAGCUCAGAUGCAAAAAAAUGUAUAUCCAACGUUUCGACAGCCAAGCUGUCUUCAUCAGGGUAUCAUCACAAACACUGCGAGAUGACUCGUUUAUAUAGUGUCAGAAGACACACAGGUGUCUGUAAUCAUGGCCAAGUGUGGCCUAAUAUCAUUUGUUAACUCUGAAAUAUAAAAAUGGCAUACAAAAGAACAAAUGGAUAGCAUACGAUCAUAGAUACAUUUUAGACUACACAAGCUUACAAACAAUUACAAUGGCAAAGUCACAAAAAUCACAAGAAUGGCUUCAAAUCAAAGUCUACUUUGAGCCCGAAGGGAGCAAGGGUCUUUAAAUUAAAGAUCCAGACGGCCUCUCGUUUUAACAAUAAAUUAUCAAGGUCACCCCCUCUCCUAGGGAGGGUGACAUGCUCGAUGCCAAUAUAACGCAGAGACGAAAUCGAGUGGUUUGCUUCCAUAAAGUGGGCCGCAACUGGGUAAGUCAAGUUUUUGCACCUAAUGGUGCUACGGUGCACUGAGAUACGUACUUUUAAUUCACGCUUUGUUUUACCCACAUCAUUUUUACCACAAGGACAAGUUAUAAGAGAAAUAACUGCCUUAGUGGAGCAAGCGAUAACACCUUUGAUUGGGAUCUGUUUCCCUGUUUGUGGGUGUUUGAAGGAUUUACAUUUAUAAGUGCCAUUGCAUUGAGCACAGCCAUUACACUUGUAAUUUCCAUCCAGUAGGGGCGCAAAUAGACGUUGUUCAGGAAUAUUUUGGGGUGGUAAAUCAGAGUGUACCAAUUGGUCUCUGAGAUUUCUGCCCCGCGAGAAUACGACCAAGGGAAGGUCCGAAAACACAUUACUGAGACUAUCAUCGUAUUUUAGAAUGUGCCAAUGUUUGAGAACGAUUCCCUUAAUUUGUUCAGAGCACUUUGAAUAGCGGGUAGUUAGAACGCAAGAAUGCGUCUUUUUGCGAGACUGACCUUGAAAAAGGUCAUGUUUUGUUUUGAAUUUUCUCAAUGGCAGUAUUAAUCUGAUCAUUUUUGUACCCCCUCUCCUUGAACUUUCUGUGCGUCUCAGCCAUAUUUCUGUCAAAAUCUGAUUGUUUUUUUACAAAUUCUUUUGAUUCGACUGAAUUGGCUGUAGGGCAAACUAUUUUUCAAGGGAAGUGGGUGACAACUAUCAGCCCUCAACAAACUGUUACGAUCAGUAGGUUUCCUGUAAAGAUCAGUGUAUAGAACAUUAUUUUCACACAAGAUCAGAAGAUCAAGAAAACUGAUUUGACGUGUAUCAGAUUGCAUAGUAAAUCUCAAAUGUUCAGAACAGGAGUUAAGAAAAGCAUGGAAUGCCUGGAGCUGUUCUGCAUCACCCCUCCAUAGAACAAAAAUAUCAUCAAUAUACCGUUUCCAAAUAAUGAUGUUAGGCAAGAAAACAUUUUUGAGAGGGUUGAAAAUGGACUGUUUCUCCAUGUAACCCACAAACAAAUUAGCAUAGUUAUGAGCCAUGAGGGAUCCCAUAGCAGUACCCUUCGUCUGAAUAAAGAAAUCAUUUAGAAACAUGAAAUAGUUAUGUGUGAGUACUCUUUCAGCCAAUGUUAUAAUGCAGGCACUGGAAGGUAGUUCAUUAGGGUCAC